rnacentral:rRNA from 1 species
AAUGAACGUUGGCGGCGUGGAUUAGGCAUGCAAGUCGUGCGCGAACUGUAGCAAUACAGGGAGAGCGGCGAAAGGGAGAGUACUACAUGGUUAGCUACCCUCGGGACUGGGAUAGCGACGGGAAACUGCCGGUAAUACCAGAUGACAUCUUCGGAACAAACGUGUGAAUCGGCCCGAGGAGGCGACCUUGUCCUAUCAGCUUGUUGGCGGGGCAACGGCCCACCAGGGCAAAGACGGGUAUGGGGCGUGAGAGCGUGCCCCCACUCGCUGGGACUGAGAACUGCCCAGACACCUACGGGUGGCUGCAGUCGAGAAUCUUCGGCAAUGGGCGCAAGCCUGACCGAGCGACGCCGCGUGCGGGAUGAAGGCCUUCGGGUUGUAAACCGCUGUCGUAGGGGAGGAAGGCUCCGUGCAGAACGGAGUUUGACCGAUCCUAGGAGGAAGGGCCGGCUAAUCUCGUGCCAGCAGCCGCAGUAA